UACAGAGGUCUCAAGCGUUGUUCGGAUUCAUUGGGCGUAAAGAGCUCGUAGGCGGUUUGUCGCGUCUGCCGUGAAAGUCCGGGGCUCAACUCCGGAUCUGCGGUGGGUACGGGCAGACUAGAGUGAUGUAGGGGAGACUGGAAUUCCUGGUGUAGCGGUGAAAUGCGCAGAUAUCAGGAAGAACACCCGUGGCGAAGGCGGCUUGCCAGAACGCGCUCGACGGUGAGGGAUGAAAGCUGGGGGAGCAAACCGGG
rnacentral:rRNA from 1 species